rnacentral:rRNA from 1 species
AUUGAACGCUGGCGGCAGGCCUAACACAUGCAAGUCAAACGGUAACAGGAAGAAGCUUGCUUCUUUGCUGACGAGUGGCGGACGGGUGAGUAAUGUCUGGGAAACUGCCUGAUGGAGGGGGAUAACUACUGGAAACGGUAGCUAAUACCGCAUAACGUCGCAAGACCAAAAAGGGGGACCUUCGGGCCUCUUGCCAUCGGAUGUGCCAAGAUGGGAUUAGCUAGUAGGUGGGGUAACGGCUCACCUAGGCGACGAUCCCUAGCUGGUCUGAGAGGAUGACCAGCCACACUGGAACUGAGACACGGUCCAGACUCCUACGGGAGGCAGCAGUGGGGAAUAUUGCACAAUGGGCGCAAGCCUGAUGCAGCCAUGCCGCGUGUAUGAAGAAGGCCUUCGGGUUGUAAAGUACUUUCAGCGGGGAGGAAGGGAGUAAAGUUAAUACCUUUGCUCAUUGACGUUACCCGCAGAAGAAGCACCGGCUAACUCCGUG